rnacentral:misc_RNA from 1 species
AUAAAGAUGUUUGGCCAGUACCAGUACAUUGCGACAAUGUCGCAUCUGAGUAAUCCUUUAGAAAGACUUGAAUUUUCUUUUCUUUUCAGUUUGUCGUCAUUAAAGCUGAAACUUUGCGAUGCAGGUGUCGGAGAUGCGAUAUGCUUUACCAAGGCAUGCGUGCGGGUUGUUACGAUGUCUUCUGAGAUGUAUGCCUUCACCGAGAUUUUUGACAAGGGACAUCGGAUUCUAUUGGAGUACAUAACACAGGAUAAAAAACCCAUGGGAACUGAUCUCCAUUUACUACAAAAACUUAUUUCCUUUACUUCGAAUUUGAAAGGUUAGUUAACCAUGUUAACUUACGCUAGUGACAGGCGUAUGCGUAAGUACCAAAAAACCAUUUUGUGUUAAAAGAAAGAAAAGGCCAUUGCAGUUAGAAUUUGAGCAAUAAACAGAUGCAAUAAUGAUAUUCGUUAUAAACUAAAUUUCUCUGGACAACAGCUUGAGAUUUAUGAAUGAGUAAGUAACAAUACAGUUACCUAAUACAUGUAUAUUUCUGUUGUAAGAUAUUAUACUCUGUCCCAAAUUUCUGCUUCCACCACUUUUUGCUCAAUAUUUUGAUAGUCAUAAAUACCUUAUUGUACAAACACUGUUCAUCCACUAGAAUGAAAAGGUUCAGACUUUCUGUUUUGAAACGCUCCUUGUAUUGCUUCAGGUUCCAAUUCACAACAGUAGAAAGACAAUUAAAGUCUGUGUGGAUUUCGCAUUGCAACAGACAUGAAAUGUACAGUAUUUUUAUGAUAAUGUUAAAAAAUUGUGCAAUGUGUCCAGAGUAUUUCUGAAUGGAGAAAAGAUGUCAUUAUUUCCCAUUAUAAAUCACUGAGGAAGUAUAGCAUAUGCAAUAUUUUUCCAACUGUACCAUUAUAAGUGACCCUAGGAAAUUUAGAACAAUUACCCUAGUCCUGUUCUUGUGUUUUUGCUCAUAAAUAUGCACAGUAUUUAAAAAUAUGUAUUUUUUUUUUUUUUACAUCUGGAUAGGAAAUUAUGUCCAUAAUCAGUUAUUUAGAUUUUUAGCCAUACAAAAAUUACAAUUUUAGAUGCAAGCAAAGCACUGCAGAGUGCAUCCGGAGGAUCAGGAGGAAAAGAGAGAGAGACAGAGUGGUCAGAGAGACUUGCUGUCCAUUUCUUUUUACCUCUAUCACUGGCACAGGACUGUGUUCUGGACAUUAGUAGUAAUGAUAAAGUCUUGGAGUGCCCAUGUUCCUGUAAAUUUCCUAUAAUGUAUGGCGACACAUCAAUUGGUCAUCCUAAAACCUGGUUUGGAAAUUUUGACAUAGUAAUCAGGAAAGCUUCAAGCCCACAAGAAAGAAAUAAAAGACCAAAACUUGAAACUGAAGUACACAUAGCAGCUACUGUAAUUCCUGAGGAGUUCUCUCAAGAUCCCGAGUCAUUACAAGAUGAGAGUUCAGAGGAUGACCUAACAGAGUUUGAUAGUCUUCAAAAGUAUUUUUCACAAACUGUGGCUCAAAGCAUAGUUUUUUCAUUCUAUCAGAAGAAAUGUAAUCAAGCUGUAAAUAUUGUGCCAUUCAUUGCAGUGAGCAAAACUCAUGUGCAGUUUCAUUUUUAUGACUGUGAAAAGGACCUAUAUUUUUUGAGUCAGGAAAUGCCGUUAUUCGCUGGUGAUUGUGAUGAAUUACUUAUGGAAACAGUUAUUGCAACAUGGUUAGUUAUAAACUACAGAUAUCUGUUGUCAGGACCUACAGAAGAAAUGGUUAGGGGUGAAAAAUUUGGUUUCCAUUCAAAUGUUUCAGAUGAAGCUCUGAAUCUGUACAGAAAUGAAAUUAAAAUGGGUAUAACAAAGCUAAAAACUAAAGAUUUUGAUGUUAGAAAUGCAUUAUGGCGUCAGGGUGUUUUUCUGAAUGCAAGUGACACUGUAAAACGUAAAAAAAAAUUUGGAAAGGAAAAGAGUUGAAAACUGAAGAUUUUGUAAUUUAGGUUUACAUAUUUGUUCUAAUGUAUCUUGCUGACUAAUUAUCAAGAAAAAUCAACAUACAAUGUAUUUUAGUAUAGUGACUUGCUACUUUUAGUAUUCAUUAUAUUAUUUUUCUUCUAAAAAGCUAUAAUGUUUGUUAGGAGAUAAAAUAUGUGGCAUUUUUAAUUUAUCGAUUGUUUUCCUUAAGACCUAUAAAACUUCAAUAAAAGCAGGUGAAAACAAUUAGUAUUUCUUAUUUUGAAAAUAAACUUUUGACGUUGAC